CAUCUACUUUUGAAAAGACAUCAAUUUCCCCAUCUCCUUCAUGCUAGACACAUUUAAUCCCCACAAGAUAAGUGCUAUUAAUUUUUACUUUGUGAUUGAGCAAAUAUAAGCCCAGAGAAAAUGAAUUAUUUCUCCAAUGGCACAUAACUGAUAUGUACCUUGGUUAGAUUUUAAAAUGACAUGCCUUCUCACAUCAUAGCCCAUGCUCUUUUCCCUUUGCCAGAUUUAUAAAGAGAUACAUGUAAAUGAGAACUGCAACAUGAAAAAUGAUGUUAAAAGCCAAACUAGUUUCUCUUUAGUUAUUUAAAACAUCAGUUUAUAGAUGAAAAGGGAAAGAUGUAUAUUCCAAAAACACGGAAUCCUUACUUUUUGUGAUCUCAUUACAGUAACACUGUCAGCCACAGAGAAUCCUCACAUUUUGUGACUCUGUCAUUUCUUAAUAUAGGAUAUGCUGAAAAACAUGGAGAUUUCAGCUACUGGACUUCUUAAUAAUCAAUUAUCUGGGAACUUUAGUUGCUAAUUAUUUUUCAUUCAAAAUAAAUCAUCCAAAAAAUAGUUUUGUGAGGAAUUUAAGAAAAUAAAAUGAGCCCUGUGAUGACAAGUGGAUGUAAAUUUUUACUUUCAUAAUUAAUGUCAUCAUUGUGACAACUGAAACUUUUUGGUGCAGCUUUCUAACCAUUUGUGAAAGCUAGAAAAUUCUGAGGUUGUCAAACACCAUGCCGGUUGAGGAGUACUCGCCACCCUGCAAGUAGCUUCUGGAAAAUGCAUGGCCCCACUGUUUCUGUCUUGUCAUUGAAGAGCAUUUGAUUAAUACUUUUUCUCCUUACAAGGAUGACCCACACUUGACUAAUACAAAAGGUAUUGCUAAAUGCAUUACCUAAAUAUAUCCUAUGUAAAUGAAGACAUUCCAAUGAGAUAUAGUUAUUUAUAGGCAGCAAUUAUGUGAGGCCAACAUACUUUCUGUCCAAGCCAAACUCUGAUUUCAAAUUUCUUUACUUUUUGCAAAAGCAAAUUUCAAGCGAUGGUCCCACAGCAGCCAUAAUUUGGCUUUUUUUUUUUUUCAUAGAUGCUGUAUUUUAUAACCACCUUGCACUUAAUUUUAUUACCCUGAAAUGCAAGCUUGGAUAUAGAAUGAUGGCGCUGAGGUUAAGUAAGAGGUUGGAAUGCCCUGCUUUAUGUGUAUAGAAAUUCUCAAAGAUAAUGCCAUAGUAAUGACUGAUGCACUUUAUUUUUCAGUUGCUUAAAGACAGGUGCAUUAUUGAUCACUAUAAAAAAUGUGUGGAUUUCAACACCCAUGACAACAUUGAAUUGACUGCACACUCUCAACCUUGCAUGUCCUUACAAUACUGCAUAUCAAAUAUGUUUUCACAGACCUGGUGUGGGUUCGCUAGCUAUGACAUUACUCUCAAUAUAUAUGGUUAUAGAAAUGCCUUACAUGUUUUUAUGGAUUUGUACAUCCUUCAAAUUCAAAUUUCAAAAUGGCUGAAUGUGUACAAAGCUUGCUUAGUCAUUCCACUGUGCCUCUUAGAUCCAGGAAGAGAGCAGUGCACACCAUAAAAGCCUACUCAUUUGCAAAAUGGAACAAUAAUGGGUUGAUAUGAGCGUUAAGUACAUUAACACAUAGGAGUUUCUUAGAAAAAUUUUGGAUCCUACUUUGUAUGUUAGCUUUUUAAAAAUUCAUAUUAGUUUAGUAUUGGCAUUAAUAUAUCCUUAUUACUGUUAUUAAAAACCCAGUCUUUCUCAUUAACCUAAAUUCAGGAGUGAUAAAUAAGCAUCUGAUGGUCAACUUACUUUCAAUAUUAAUUGAUAAUUUGUCACUAGGAAUAAAAAUACAAUUAAUAUCUGGACAAUUUUUGAGAGGGUUUGAUGAGAUGAUACUUGCAAAUUUGACACAGAAUUUUCACUUGUGUCUGGGAAUAGAUGUCUCUAUGUAUGUGUCUACAUGGAUCUAUACAGAUAUAGGUAAUUAGACCACAGGUAGAUGUUAAUUCACUUUUAUAUUUUAUCAUAUGCUACUACAUAUCAUUUUAAAAUGCUGAACUGUUUCCUGUUGAACUUUAAGAGGAACAAUCUUGACUACGUAUCAUUUUAAUUUAAAAUAAAUAUAUAAGUAUUAUCAAAUCUGUGACUCAGAAUAAACAUACCUAGUAUAUAAAAUGCUACACUUUUAUAAACCUACUAUAGCUUCAGAACUGUAUUUUCUCACAUACCUAUACACACAUACAUAUGCACAUGUAGGUAUAUGCAUAUACAUUAACUUCAUUGUAUUUCUUAUAUUUUGAUGGAAACCAAGAAGGAACUAGUUCUCUAGGGCUCCUGGAUAACUUUCUCUUAUGUUAAUACUCAGUUUUAAUUACUCUAUUACUUAUCAAUGAGGUAAGUGACUAAAUUUCCCUUAUCAAAUAGAAUAUUUAGGAAUCACCAAAUUUUAAGUGAAAGCAUGUAUCUGUGCAAAUUGUAAUAAACCUAGAAUAGUUGACUAUAAUGUAUUUAUUAAUCUUUUCUUAUUUCAUGGCUCUUAU
rnacentral:lncRNA from 1 species